CCAGCCGCCGCGGUAAUACGGAGGUGGCAAGCGUUGUCCGGAAUUAUUGGGCGUAAAGCGCGCGCAGGCGGCCUCUUAAGUCUGAUGUGAAAGCCCCCGGCUCAACCGGGGAGGGCCAUUGGAAACUGGGAGGCUUGAGUAUAGGAGAGAAGAGUGGAAUUCCACGUGUAGCGGUGAAAUGCGUAGAGAUGUGGAGGAACACCAGUGGCGAAGGCGACUCUUUGGCCUAUAACUGACGCUGAGGCGCGAAAGCGGGGGGAGCAAACAGGAUUAGAUACCCUGGUAGUCCACGCCGUAAACGAUGAGUGCUAGGUGUUGGAGGGUUUCCGCCCUUCAGUGCUGAAGCUAACGCAUUAAGCACUCCGCCUGGGGAGUACGGUCGCAAGGCUGAAACUCAAAGGAAUUGGCGGGGGAGCACGGGAGAUCGCCUAU
rnacentral:rRNA from 1 species